rnacentral:rRNA from 1 species
CCUACGGGAGGCAGCAGUGAGGAAUAUUGGUCAAUGGCCGAGAGUCUGAACCAGCCAAGUCGCGUGAAGGAUGACUGUCCUAUGGGUUGUAAACCUCUUUUAUCUGGGAAUAAAAUGUUCCACGUGUGGGAUUUUGUAUGUACCAUAUGAAUAAGGAUCGGCUAACUCCGUGCCAGCAGCCGCGGUAAUACGGAGGAUCCGAGCGUUAUCCGGAUUUAUUGGGUUUAAAGGGUGCGUAGGUGGAUUGUUAAGUCAGUUGUUAAAGUUUGCGGCUCAACCCUAAAAUUGCAGUUGAAACUGGCAGUCUUGAGUACAGUAGAGGUAGGCGGAAUUCGUGGUGUAGCGGUGAAAUGCUUAGAUAUCACGAAGAACUCCGAUUGCGAAGGCAGUUCACUGGACUGCAACUGACACUGAGGCUCGAAAGUGUGGGUAUCAAACAGGAUUAGAUACCCCAGUAGUC